AUUGAACGCUGGCGGCAUGCCUUACACAUGCAAGUCGAACGGUAACAGGUCUUUCGGGAUGCUGACGAGUGGCGAACGGGUGAGUAAUACAUCGGAACGUGCCUAGUAGUGGGGGAUGACUACUCGAAAGAGUGGCUAAUACCGCAUGAGAUCUAUGGAUGAAAGCAGGGGACCUUCGGGCCUUGCGCUACUAGAGCGGCCGAUGGCAGAUUAGGUAGUUGGUGGGAUAAAAGCUUACCAAGCCUGCGAUCUGUAGCUGGUCUGAGAGGACGAUCAGCCACACUGGGACUGAGACACAGCCCAGACUCCUACGGGAGGCAGCAGUGGGGAAUUUUGGACAAUGGGGGAAACCCUGAUCCAGCAAUGCCGCGUGCAGGAUGAAGGCCUUCGGGUUGUAAACUGCUUUUGUACGGAACGAAAAGUCUUGGGUUAAUACCCUGGGAUCAUGACGGUACCGUAAGAAUAAGCACCGGCUAACUACGUGCCAGCCGCCGCGGUAAGAC
rnacentral:rRNA from 1 species